AGAGUUUGAUCAUGGCUCAGGAUGAACGCUGGCGGCGCGCCUAACACAUGCAAGUCGAACGGUUAAGGCGCCCUUCGGGGCGCGAAUAGAGUGGCGAACGGCUGAGUAACACGUGGGCAACCUGCCCCCCGCACCGGGACAGCCUCGGGAAACCGUGGGUAAUACCGGGUACUCCGCCACCCCCGCAUGGGGGAGGCGGGAGAGCGUAUGCGGCGGGGGAUGGGCCCGCGGCCUGUUAGCUAGUUGGCGGGGCAACGGCCCACCAAGGCGAUUAUGGGUAGCUGGGUUGAGAGACCGACCAGCCAGAUUGGGACUGAGACACGGCCCAGACUCCUACGGGAGGCAGCAGUGGGGAAUCUUGCGCAAUGGGGGCAACCCUGACGCAGCGACGCCGCGUGCGGGACGAAGGCCUUCGGGUCGUAAACCGCUUUCAGCAGGGACGAGGCCGCGAGGUGACGGUACCUGCAGAAGAAGCCCCGGCUAACUACGUGCCAGCAGCCGCGGUAAUACGUAGGGGGCGAGCGUUAUCCGGAUUCAUUGGGCGUAAAGCGCUCGUAGGCUGCCCGCUAGGUCCGGGGUCAAAUCCGGGGGCUCAACCCCCGCACGCCCCGGAUACCGGCGGGCUUGAGUCGGGUAGGGGAAGGCGGAAUUCCAGGUGUAGCGGUGGAAUGCGCAGAUAUCUGGAAGAACACCGGUGGCGAAAGCGGCCUUCUGGGCCUCGACUGACGCUGAGGAGCGAAAGCUGGGGGAGCGAACAGGAUUAGAUACCCUGGUAGUCCCAGCCGUAAACGAUGGACGCUAGGUGUGGGGGGAGAUUCCCUCCGUGCCGCAGCCAACGCAUUAAGCGUCCCGCCUGGGGAGUACGGCCGCAAGGCUAAAACUCAAAGGAAUUGACGG
rnacentral:rRNA from 1 species